rnacentral:lncRNA from 1 species
GCUUUGUACCGCAGCCCGUUGGCUUCGCAAAACUGGGGUGUGCAGCUGGCAUACUCACAGGCUCCCACGGCGCCCAGCAGCACCAUGAGGUCGCCGAGCUUCAGAGAAGCCCCCUGCCCUGCCCAGGUCCUCUUCAUCUGGGCCACCCGGGCCCGCUUGCUCUUCAGCCUGGUGAGCUCCUCGUCACUGGCCGCUGGUCUGUCCAGCUCCUCAAACAGCUCCCGCACCGUCAUGCUGGCCACGAUGGUGAUGGCAUAGGGCAGGCAGCCGUGUUGUCGGCUCAGUGCCAGCAUCUUAGCGUAGCG